UGGGGAAGGGUAGGGUUGGGACAAAAGUCGGGGGCCCUCUUCCCUCACGGCCGCUCUUUCAGGUAUCUGGAGCAACCUGUAUGCAGCCAACCUCCAGGACAGCUUAUACUGGGCCUCAGAGCCCAGCCAGUUCUGGGACCGCUGGGUCAGGAACCAGGCCAACCUGGACAAGGAGCAGGUCCCCCUUCUGAAGAUAGAAGAACCACCCUCAACAGCCGGCAGGAUAGCUGAGUUUUUCACCGAUCUUCUGACGUGGCAUCCACUGGCCCAGGCCACACAUAAUUUCCUGCGUGGCCUCCAUUUCCACAGAGACUACUUUCAGCAUCGUCACUUCUCUACAUGGAAAGGUACCUGCUUCUCUCCAAAGUCCUCCUGUGGCCACCUGAGCCUUGAGUCCCCAGUCCAGAUACCCCUCACAGUCCACUCCCAUUCUCCUGCUUUGAGCUUGAUUCCCUGGACUACUUGGAACAGGGGUCUUUUUCUCCUUGUCUUGGGGACCCAGGGCCCACCUGCAGGGCUGUUGGGGGUGUUGGUUCAGCAGGAGAGCAGGGACCGGAGGCCAGAGUCUCUCCUUCCAGCAGGAAUCUGGUACCCUUGGUGUCUGUGACAAUUGCUGCUCUCCCCAACCUUCCAGCUACCACUCUGGAUGGGCUCCCCAACCAGCUGACACCCUCGGAGCCCCACCUGUGCCUGCUGGAUGUUGGCUACCUCCUCAAUACCAGCUGCCUGCCCCU
rnacentral:lncRNA from 1 species